rnacentral:tRNA from 1 species
UCCUCGGUGGCUCAGUCAGACAGAGCAUCUGCCAUGUAUGCAGGAGGUCCCGGGUUCGAGUCCCGGUUGAGGCA